UGUAUCUAAUGAUGGAAGGUUGUUACAUAAGCAAGAGAUCCAACAACCUUACUUUUAUUGGGUGGAAACAAAGGACCAAAACAUCUUUACCAGUAAAAAUGAUCGGAAAACACAAGAUGAAUAGAGGAGGGAAGUGUUAGGACAGUAGGGAAAUAUAAUCGUUGAUGGUCAUUUGGAACCUUGCAGCCACAGGAGGACAAAGGCCAGGAAAAACUUGCUGGACACCAGGAGUCAGACCAUGCCUGGUAGCGAAGAAUAAAAUGACAACUUGUACAAGUGGCUGCUGCUGCUUUGAUCCCUGUAAAGGCAAAUGCAUGUUCAUCUAUCACAGCUUUUGCACCAUCGGGACCACUGUCAACACAGCUAAAAAGGCAAAGAAUGUUUUAGUACUGUGAAAACAGUUUCCACCUUGCAGACUCCCUGACAGAAUCUGGGGGAUCCACUGGAGUCCAUGGAUCACGCUGCGAGGACCAUCGAUCUAGGGAACAGUGCAGCCCUAGGAAACCUAACUGACCACAGCAACGAGGCACCACUGGACAGUUUUCCCUGGAACGGGGCGAUCAGAUGAGGAAACUAAGGCAUAGAAGAGUCCAGGAACUUUCCCAUCUGAUAAUCCGUAGAGCCAAGAUCCGCACUGAAAACCUGCAUCGUGCUUAAGGAGCCCUAAUAAUGCUCUACUAGUCCUGUCUAGCUCCUCUGACAGUGGGACCAUUAUUUGUCUAUUUCUUUAAUUUCUCUCUUCCUAAUUACAUG